GACAGAGGGGGCAAGCGUUGCUCGGAAUCACUGGGCGUAAAGGGCGCGUAGGCGGGUCGGUAAGUCGGUCGUGAAAUCCUCGGGCUCAACCCGAGGGGGUCGGCCGAGACUGCGGAUCUUGAGGGGGGCAGAGGAGCCUGGAAUUCCCGGUGUAGCGGUGAAAUGUGUAGAGAUCGGGAGGAACACCGGUGGCGAAGGCGGGGCUCUGGGCCCACUCUGACGCUGAGGCGCGAAAGCGUGGGGAGCAAACGGG
rnacentral:rRNA from 1 species